GAAGGAGUACCAUCUUCAUUGUUUCAGAGAAAGGAUGCUUGAUUCCUAUUUCUUUAUCUUUUAAUUAACAGGAGAACCAGUGAAGAAAUUUCAAUAAAGAGUUACUCCAUUUCUUCCUAAGUACUAUUGAUUAUCCUGGAAUAAACCUACAGAAAUUUGAGAGCAGCGUCAGGAUUAUUAAACAGAAUAGGACUUUUGGAUGUCAGGGAAGGAGUGGGCUAAGACAUCAACAUAAGAAAGGUGACCCAGGGAGGACAUCAAGGAAAUCUGAACCAGAUGCAUUGCUUUGAACAUAGGCCCAUAGAAGAUCCAGUCAAAACGUUUCAGCUGUUAUUAUACAUGU
rnacentral:lncRNA from 1 species